rfam:Ricinus communis cultivar Hale ctg_1100012350358, whole genome shotgun sequence.
GAUGCCUCCGAAUAACCAGAAUGGUCCAAUGAAACGAUGCCGUUUGGUUCAGACAGAGGCAAAGAACAAUUUGAAUCGGUUUGAGGGUAAGGGAAUUUUUCUUAAGAUCUAUUUCCUUUCCUAGAUGGAUUCAGAUAUUU